ACGAAAUAGUAGCAAUACUAUUUAGUGGCGGAAGGGUUAGUAAUACAUAGGUAACGUGCCUUUAACUUUGGAAUAACGAUUGGAAACGAUCGCUAAUACCAGAUGUGGUGUGACUAGGCAUCUAGUUAACAUUAAAGUGGGGGAUCGCAAGACCUCGCGGUUAGAGAGCGGCCUAUGGGAUAUCAGCUUGUUGGUGAGGUAAGAGCUCACCAAGG
rnacentral:rRNA from 1 species